CGUAGGGUGCGAGCGUUGUCCGGAAUUAUUGGGCGUAAAGGGCUCGUAGGCGGUUUGUCGCGUCGGGAGUGAAAACACCGGGCUUAACUCGGUGCUUGCUUUCGAUACGGGCAGACUAGAGGUAUGCAGGGGAGAACGGAAUUCCUGGUGUAGCGGUGAAAUGCGCAGAUAUCAGGAGGAACACCGGUGGCGAAGGCGGUUCUCUGGGCAUGUCCUGACGCUGAGGAGCGAAAGUGUGGGGAGCGAACAGGAUUAGAUACCCUGGUAGUCCACACCGUAAACGUUGGGCGCUAGGUGUGGGAUCCAUUCCACGGGUUCCGUGCCGCAGCUAACGCAUUAAGCGCCCCGCCUGGGGAGUACGGCCGCAAGGCUA
rnacentral:rRNA from 1 species